UAGAUGUUAGUAAAACAAUUACUAAGCCUUGUCAAGGCCUAAUUACUGGUUAAAAUCUUGUACACCUAU
rnacentral:tRNA from 1 species